rnacentral:rRNA from 1 species
AAUAGAUACCCAGGUAGUCCACGCCGUAAACGGUGGGUACUAGGUGUGGGUUUCCUUCCUUGGGAUCCGUGCCGUAGCUAACGCAUUAAGUACCCCGCCUGGGGAGUACGGCCGCAAGGCUAAAACUCAAAGGAAUUGACGGGGGGCCCGCACAAGCGGCGGAGCAUGUGGAUUAAUUCGAUGCAACGCGAAGAACCUUACCCGGGUUUGACAUGCACAGGACGCCGGCAGAGAUGUCGGUUCCCUUGUGGCCUGUGUGCAGGUGGUGCAUGGCUGUCGUCAGCUCGUGUCGUGAGAUGUUGGGUUAAGUCCCGCAACGAGCGCAACCCUUGUCUCAUGUUGCCAGCACGUUAUGGUGGGGACUCGUGAGAGACUGCCGGGGUCAACUCGGAGGAAGGUGGGGAUGACGUCAAGUCAUCAUGCCCCUUAUGUCCAGGGCUUCACACAUGCUACAAUGGCCGGUACAAAGGGCUGCGAUGCCGUGAGGUGGAGCGAAUCCUUUCAAAGCCGGUCUCAGUUCGGAUCGGGGUCUG